rnacentral:rRNA from 1 species
UGGCGGCAUGCCUAACACAUGCAAGUCGAACGAAGCCUUCGGGCUUAGUGGCGCACGGGUGCGUAACGCGUGGGAAUCUGCCCUUGGGUUCGGAAUAACAGUUAGAAAUGACUGCUAAUACCGAAUGAUGUCUUCGGACCAAAGAUUUAUCGCCCAAGGAUGAGCCCGCGUCGGAUUAGCUAGUUGGUGAGGUAAAGGCUCACCAAGGCGACGAUCCGUAGCUGGUCUGAGAGGAUGAUCAGCCACACUGGGACUGAGACACGGCCCAGACUCCUACGGGAGGCAGCAGUGGGGAAUAUUGGACAAUGGGCGAAAGCCUGAUCCAGCAAUGCCGCGUGAGUGAUGAAGGCCUUAGGGUUGUAAAGCUCUUUUACCCGGGAUGAUAAUGACAGUACCGGGAGAAUAAGCCCCGGCUAACUCCGUG